GCUUUGGACAUCUUGGAAGGAUGAUACAAAGCCAGCAAGAUCUCCUGUUGGGCAAUGCUGUACCAGGGAAAAAGAGUGGGAUGGGAGAGGCAGAGAGGAUCAGGAGGAUGUGACUCUUACAAAGGCACUUAUGUCACCAUCCACGGACACCCACCUCAGUGGGUUUAGGAGCUCCCUGCAGAUAGGCAGAAAUGGAAAUACUCCUCUUCUGUAUCAUCUGACCCUGUUCUGCUGGGACACCCCCUUUCCUUUGUCCACCUGAGUGUAUCUGGAUGAAGCAGUCAUUGCAUCUUCCACCUUCAUCACUGGGGCUCUCGUGAGAAGAUGUGGACGUUGAUGUGGCUCUGACAGGGAGUUUGCACUGAUCAUAGAUGGAGAGAGAGAGAGAGAGAGAUGCUGGAGCAGGUGUGGGACAACAGGUCAAGGCUUUGUCCUGUAAUCCUCUCACCUCUGAUACCCCACAGAGACUCCUGACGGCCAAGAGACUGCCUUUUCCAAGAGGUAUAUGUCCUGCAGUAAGAUCUCCAGUUUGUAGUAAAAAUAACUAUCACUUACUUCACAGGCCCAUGGAAAAGCACCUGCCUGGGCAGCAGGAGACUGGAAAAUUGCAGCUGUGAAACUGGAUGUGCUAACUUCUGUACAGAACAUCCAUGAAUUUAGACUUCACUUUUCCCUGGUAAAACUUUGGAUUGUCUUGAUUUUUAUUCACACAUGAAAGGUGAAAUGGUCUAAAUCUUAAUGUUUAAUGAGUUGGGGACUGUUUCUCAGUUUCAAAAAUCCAUUAGCCUCUUAGUCAGCGAGGAGUAAAGAGCUGUUUUGAAUUCAUGGUACGUCUUCAAAGUUUCUUUCAAAGAUUACUUUUUUUUCCCCUUCUCCUCUCAUGUAUCUCAGAAGAAACCAGGCUGCCAAACUGCUCCAGGAAGCUCUUCUGAGAUAGAGACAUCCAUCUCUGUGUACGGUCUGUACUUGUGAAGCAGAGCACAAAGCCCUUUUUCCAUUUAAUCCAUAUUAAUUAUCUCUCUGCAGCUCCUCUGUAGUUUCCACUCAGCCUAAGCAUCAAAAACUUGUGUGGCUGCAUCUUGAACAAACCAGAGCUUUUCACUCCACACCUGAGAUCACUUAGCUGGAGAUAACUAGGGAGAUGCCUGAGAAAAGGAGCAAUUACAGGGUCCUUUAUCUGCCAAAAAGGAAGUUCAAAGUGCUGGCGGAACAACCCCUCUCACCCCAGUGAGGACACUGAAGCGAGAGCAACUCGUUUGCCUUUCUGGUCACGUACCCCCCAUGAAAUGUAAAUAAAUACUAGGCUGUGAA